rnacentral:lncRNA from 1 species
AAAUACACAAACCUAUCUUCAAUUGUGACCUUUAGAUAAGCUUAAAACUAUUAGUAGUUGGUCAGAUAAUAGCUUUACAGUACUUCUAAACACAUUACAUGAUAUGUUACCUGAAGGUAAUGUAAUUCCUACAUCGACAAUAUGCGUAAGAAAAUUUCUAAAGACAUUUGAUUUAGGCUAUGAGAAGAUUCAUGCAUGUGUUAAUAAUUGAUGUUUGUUUAGAAACGAUAAAAAAGAAUUAGAUAGCUAUCCAAAAUGUGAUUCUUCGAGAUGGAAGGUCAAUAAGCAUACACAAAAGCGUAAAAAUGGUGUACCUGCUAAAGUCUUAAGAUACUUUCCUAUAAAACCUAGAUUCCAAAGGAUGUUUAGUAAACUGAAGAUGGCUGAAUCAUUAAUAUGGCAUUCAACCAAUUAGAGUGUUGAUGGUGAAAUGUGUCAUCCAGUAGAUUCUCCAUCUUGGGCUUUAAUUGACAACAAGUGGCCAGAGUUUGCAAAUAAUCCACGCAAUCUUAGGCUUGGGCUUGCUACAGAUGGUUUCAAUCCAUUCAACAAUUUUAGCUCUACAUAUAGUUGUUGGCCAGUGAUGUUGGUCAUUUAUAAUCUACCACAAUGGUUAUGUAUGAAAAAAGAAAAUAUCAUGUUGUCAUUGUUAAUUCCAGGGCCUAAACAGCCUCGGAAUGAUAUUGAUAUAUAUUUGCAACCACUUGUAGAUGACUUGAACGAAUUGUGGAAUAUUGGGAUGAAUAUGUAUGAUGCACACACUAAUGCAGUUUUCAACUUGAGAGCAAUACUUAUGUGGACUAUUAAUGAUUUACCAGCUCUUGGAAAUUUAGCUGGAUGUAAAAUUAAAGGUAGGACAAGUUGCCCUAUAUGUUCUGAGAAUAGUCACUCACAGCGGUUAAAAUUUAGUAGAAAAUUUACAUACAUAGGUCAUAGGAGAUUUUGUCACCAUAUCAUCCGUUAAGGAAAAAUAAAUCUUGGUUUGAUGGACAUGAAGAAAAGGAAACCAAACCUAAAAUUAUGUCUGGUAGCAACAUUCUGGUUACUCUUAAAGAUUAUGUCAACAAUUUUGGGAAAGCUCGGAAACGAAAAAGAAAGACAGAUAAUGGGAGCAUGCUAACAUGGAAAAAGAGAUCAAUCUUUUUAACUUACCAUAUUGGGAGGUAAGAUUUUCGCAUUCUCCAACUCUUAUUCAACUUCUUUCAAUUAUUUGAAUAUACUUUUUUUAUGAAACUAACAAAAUCUUUUUGCUUUGUUACAUUAUUAGGUGCUACCAUGACGUCAUAAAUUUGGAUGUAAUGCACAUUAAGAAAAAUGUAUGUGAAAGCAUUAUUGGUAAAUUUUAGACAUAAAUGAUAAACAAAAGAUGGAUUAAAUGCUCGUAAGGAUUUACAAGACAUGGAAAUUAGGAAGGAGUUACAUCUAGAGGAACGAGGUAAUAGAAUAUACCUUCCUCCUGUUCCACAUACGUUGUCAAGGUUAGAGAAACAAACAUUUUGUAAGAGGUUGUUUAACUUGAAAUUACCUAAUGGGUACAGUUCAAAUGUAGCCACUUGUAUAUCAGUAGAUGAAUGCAAAAUUAUUGGCCUCAAGUCACAUGAUUGUCAUGUCCUCAUGCAACAACUUUUGGCUGUAUCAUUAAGAGGAUUACUUACAAAAGGACCAAGACAUGCAAUUUUAGACUAUGAACAUUCUUCAAUAGAUUAUGCCAACAUAUUGUUGAUAGAGAGAAAAUAGCAAUAUUAGAAGACGAAGUACUUGAAACCUUAUGCAGUCUUGAAAGAUUAUUUCCUCUUGCAUUUUUGAUAUCAUGAUACAUUUGGUGGUACAUUUGGGAAGAGAAGUACGAUUAUGUGGUCCAGUUCACUAUCGCUGGAUGUAUCCUUUUGAGAGGUGAGAAAUUCACAAUUACUUGGAUAAAUUUACACAUAAUUUCAUUCUUAGUACUAAUUUGUUUACUUUGUUUACUUGUAGAUAUAUGAAGAUAUUCAAAGGACAUGUGAGAAAUCGCGCACGGCCUAGAGGUUGCAUAACUAAAUGUUAUCUUGCAGAUGAGUGCAUGAAAUUUUGUACCGAGUUUAUGAAACAAGUAAGAGAAAUUGAUCAUCGAGAGGGGCGCAACGAAGAUUAUGUUAGCAAUGAAAUUACUAAGGGAUGUCCCAUUUCUGCUCCAAAUUUUAUUACACUAAGUAAUGAAAUGUUAGAGAUAGCACAUCGUUAUGUAUUAUUCAAUACAUCUUAUGUGGAACCUUAUUUGGAAUAAGUCAUCCACUUUUUAUAUCAAUAAGUACAGAACGUGUAUAUAAAUUUGUAAUCUCGGAUAACUUGCUUAUUAUUAGAAUGCAUAAAGAGGAGCUAAAGCGAAACAAUAGAAGCCUUGAAAAAAACGAAAGCUUGCUUUAGAAAAUUCACAUGGAGAAAUUUUUAGUGUGGUUAAAGGAGAAGGUUGUACAUAAUGUUGAUAAAUUAUUAUUUUCUCAUUAUAAUCAUAUAUAAUUACAUCACUGAUACAUGUCUAACUUUUUUCACAAAUUGAAGUAGGUUCUACCAUAAGUAAUGAAUAAGAUGUUCUGAAAUGGUUGGCACAUGGUCCUAAAAUGCAAGCAGUCUCCUACACUAGAGAGAUUAGCAAAGGACAACGUUUCCACAUAAAAGACGUUGAGAAAUCUACACAGAAUAGUGGUGUAUCAAUUGAAGUGAUAAUCAUGUGCAGAGCUAGUGCAAAGGAUAAUGCACAAGUUUCUGAUGUUGUUGAAUUUUAUGGAGUUGUUCGAGAAAUAAUUUCAUUAGAUCACCACAUAAUGAAGAUUCUACUCGUUAAGUGUCACUGGGCAAAUGUUCAUAACGGUGUUAAAGUGGAUGAUUGCUUUACACUUGUUAAUUUACACCAAGGUCAAAAUAAUUUUCUAAAAAAUCAUUUUAUUUUAGCAUCACAGAUCAAACAAGUGUUUUAUUCAAGAGAAAAUGAUUCCUCUAAUUGGUACAUGCUUUUGAAAGUACCACCUCGAGGAUUUCAUGAUUUAGAAAUGUAUGAUGAGAAUGAGGAAGUCAAUGUUAGAAAUAGUAUUUCAUUGAACAUUGAUGAUGUGAAUGAGGAAAUUAGCUAUGUAAGAGGGGACUACGAUGGUACUUUAAUUUGAUGAUUGUAAAUUUUAGUUCAAAAAUAAAAAGAUCCUUUUGUAGUUAGUUUUGUUUGUGUUUUCUUGUGUUGCCUUGAAGCAUUUUAAUCUUAAUAUUAUAGUUUUGCUUGUAUUUUUUUUGUUGGCUUGCAAUGAUGAGUUUUAUUUAUUCAUUUUUUUAUGUCAUUUUUUGAAAUGCUGACAUAGAAUGCUAAUCAUGAUUUUUAUAUUUUUUUAAAUAGGUUGGAUAUCAUGGUGAAUAUCAGAAAGAAGGUUGUGAUGAUUCAAAAGCUCCACGUAAAAAGAGAUCAGUAGAAAAACUACGCGUGGACAACUUAAAGUAGCCAACACAUUUCAACAACAUUUUAACUCUCUAGAUGCUUCUACUAGGUCUUUCUGCAGCAUGAAUCUGCAUAAGGAUCUAAUGAAAAAAAUAUUAUUCACUUGUUGAUUUACACAAAAACUAUGCAAAGAGGUACAUCACUAACACAUUUACAGAUGAGGCAUCACAUGAGGUUACCCCAGAAGAUGAUGUAGACAUGAGUUGUAAUGAAAACCAAGGAAGACAUGUGGAAGAUACGUCUCUAUUACAACAAAAUGUUACAACUUCUGAAGGAGAGACUCAACAAGUUCAAAAGAAGAAGAGAGGUCCUACCCAAAUGAAGAAUUUGAACGAAGUCAUUGCUCCAAUUGAAGUAAAGUUUAAUGAAAUGGGACAAUCUCUAUCUGUCACUUUAUCUUCCUUUCUAGGCCGUCUUGUAAGGGAGACUAUAUCGUAUACUCUCGUUGACUGGCAAUAUCUUUCAAAAGCUAUGAAACUUGUUAUGUGGAAAGAUAUUCAGGUAUCUCCUUCUAAAUAAUUUGAUGUUAUAUAAUACAACGUAAUAAAUAUUUGAUAUUUUAUAAAAUUGAAAAUUUAUAACAUGCAGCAAAGGUUCAAAGUAGAUCAAAAUGGCAACAAGACUACAUUUUUAAAGAAAUGGGUGGUCUCUGGAGACCGUCAAAGUCUCGACUUGUGAAAAAUAUUAGAGAAGCACCAAAUGAAGCAGAAAGAACGAAACUCAAACCUAAUUACAUAAUUAAAACCCCAGCAAUUGAAAAAGUUUGUGAAGGAAAAGACGAGUACAGAAUUUAUGGUAUCAUUUUGAAAAUUUCAUAAAAUGGACCGCCAUUUAUAGUGAAUUUUGGAAUAAGAUUUUUUGUGGUAGUAUCGUAUAAUUUCCAAAGUAUAUUUAUUGCGUGUUUAUCUCGAGCAACAUAACAUGAAAAAUUUACAAGCCAUGCAAUGUAGUGUCGAAGACAAACAUGGCUUCUUCCAUUCAAUAUAAAUGAGUAAUUUUGAAAAUUUCAUCAAAUGGGCUGCCAUUUACAGUGAAUUUUGGAAUUAAGACCUUCUUGUUGUAGUCUCGUAAAAACUCUUAAGUAUAUUUUAUUGCGUGUUUAUCUGGAGUAACCUAACAUGAAAAAUUUAUAGGCCAUGCAAUGUAGUGUCAAAGGCAAACAUGGCUUCUUCUAUUCAAUAGAAAUGAGUCAUUUCGAAAAUUUCAUCAAACGGGUCGCCAUUUACAAUGAAUUUUCGAAUUAAGACCUUUUAGUGGUAGUCUCGUAAAAUUUCUAAAGUAUAUUUAUUUUGUAUUUAUCUCGAGCAACCUCACAUGAAAAAUUUACAAGCCAUGCAAUGUAGUGUCGAAGGCAAACAAGAUUUCUUCUAUUCAAAAAAAUGAGUCAUUUUGAUAAUUUCAUCAAAUGGGCCGCCAUUUAUAGUGAAUUUUGGAAAUAAGACCUUUUGUGGUAGCAUCGUAAAAUUUCUGAAGUAUAUUUAUUGCAUUUUCUUUCUCGAGCAACCUAACAUGAAAAAUUUACAAGCCAUGCAAUGUAGUAUUGAAGGCAAGCAUGACUUCUUCUAUUCAAUAGAAUUGAGUCAUAUUGAAAAGGGAAAAAAAUCAUAAUUCAGUGAUUUAGUUUACACCAAAUCACAAGUCAGAUGUAUAAUUUGAAAUUGCAAAACUCAAGUAUGAGGUAAUUAAUUAAAAAAAUUAUUAAUUAAACAUAAUAAGGUCACAUUUAUACAAUUAAUGAUCACAUGUACAUAAUUACAGGUCACAUAUUAUCAAAUUGAUUGGUCACGUGUUAUUUCGAGGGUCACAAAUCAAGAAAAUAAGGGUCACAGUUUAUCUAUUGUCACAUAUUUUCAAAUUUAUUGGUCACGGAUUAAUUUUUUUAGUCACAAAUUAUCGAAUUUUAAGGUCAUAUUUUAAUAGUUAGUCACAAAUAACCAAAUAAUUGGUCAUAUACACCCAAACACCAAAUCCCAAUUCUCAUCCAACACCAAUACUUGGUCACAAAUUGACCAAAUAGUUGGUCACAGACACUUUUCGUUCCAUCCCGUCGCUAUGCCACCACCGUCACCACCAGCAAUAACAAUAACACACUACCACUGCAACCAAUAUCACCACCUCAUCACUAUCACGACGACCACCACCACCCAGAUCUAAACAUACAUAACCACCACUACCCAUUGACAGGCACCAAUGAUGCACUGUAGCUCCGAAUGAACCACAACUUCGAGUAGUCAAUUUUACUGCUGCUGAGGUAGUGUGUCGCUCAGAGGAGAUCGCAAUGAGCUGCACUCGCUGCUCGACAGUAAUGGCCAUGUGGGAGAGACAUUAGAGAGAUAGAGAGAAAGGGAAAAAGAUGGGAAGAGAGAGAAAACAAUUUAGGGUUUUAAUUAGGUAGGGAGAGUAUAUGUAUUUACCUGAUGUUUGAAUAAGUAAAUUUUAAACCUCAUUUUUUAAAUUCAAUCUUUAAAUACCUAUAUGUAUGCAAUUUCCUCUUUUGAAAAUUUCAUGAACUGGGCCGCCAUUUAUAGUGAAUUUUGGAAUCAAGACUUUUUGUGGUAGUCUUGUAAAAUUUCUAAAGUAUAUUUAUUGCGUGUUUAUCUCGAGCAACCUAACAUGAAAAAUUUACAAGUCAUGCAAUGUAGUGUUGAAGACAAACAUGACUUCAUCUUUUCAAUAGAAAUGAGUCAUUUCGAAAAUUUCAUCAAAUGGGUUGCCAUUUAUAGUGAACUUUGGAAUUAAGACCUUUUUGCGGUAGUCUAGUAAAAUUUCAAAAUUAUAUAUAUUGCGUGUUUAUCGCGAACAACCUAACAUGAGAAAUUUACAAGCCAGGCAACAUAGUGUCGAAGGCAAACACGACUUCUUCUAUUCAAUAGAAAUGAGUCAUUUUGCGAAUUUCAUCAAAAUGGGCCGCCAUUUAUAGUGAAUUUUGGAAUUAAGACCUUUUUGGUGGUGGUAUCAUAAAAUUUCUAAAGUAUAUUUAUUGCGUAUUUAUCUCAACCAACCAAACAUGAAAAAUUUACAAACGAUGCAAUGUAGCGUUGAAGGCAAACACGACUUCUUCUAUUCAAUAGAAAUGAGUCAUUUUCAAAGUUUCAUCAAAUGGGCCGCCAUUUAUGGUGAAAUUUGGAAUUAACACCUUUUUUUUGGUAGUUCCGUAAAAUUUCUAAAGUAUAUUUACUGCGUGUUUAUCUUGAGCAACCUAACAUGAAAAAUUUACAAGCCACGCAAUGUAGUGUCGAAGGCAAACAUGGCUUCUUCUAUUCAAUAGAAAUGAGUCAUUUAGAAAAUUUCAUCAAACGGGUCGCCAUUUACAGUGAAUUUUGGAAUUAAGACCUUUUAGUGGUAGUCUCGUAAAAUUUCUAAAGUAUAUUUAUUUUGUGUUUAUCUCGAGCAACCUCGCAUGAAAAAUUUACAAGCCAUGCAAUGUAGUGUCGAAGGCAACAAACUUCUUCCAUUCAAAAGAAAUGAGUCCUUUUGACAAUUUCAUCAAAUGGCCGCCAUUUAUAGUUAAAUUUGGAAUUAAGACCUUUUAGUGGUAGUCUCGUAAAUUUCUAAAGUAUAUUUAUCGUGAGCAAACUAACAUAAAAAAUUUACAAGCAAUGCAAUGUAGCGUCGAAGGCAAACAUGACUUCUUCUAUUCAAUUGAAAUGAGCCAUUUUGAAAAGGGAAAAUUCAUCUCCAAGAGAUUAAGUAUGGUCCAUUUCAAAAUUAAGAAAUAAGGUUUCAAAUUUCAAAAAUCAAAAUUUAAUUAACUUUUAUUUAUGAAAUAAUUUAUUAAAAAUAUAAUUUAUUAAUUCAAUGUAUUAAAGUCACAAUUCUAUAUUAUUUGGUCAUAAAUUAUCGAAUUAACUGAUGACAAAUCAUUUCUCGUUCACGAAAAAAAAUUUUAGAGGUCACAAAUUACUUUUUGGUCACAAAUAAAAAAUUUUAGAAGUUACAAUUUAUUCAUUGGUCAUAAAUAAAUAAAUUUAUAAGUCACAAUUUAUUGAACGAUCACAAACCAAAAAAUUUAUAUGUCACAAUUUAUUUAUAAGUCACGAUUUUAAUUUUUAAGUCAUAUAUUAUUUAUUAGUCAUAAAAUAUCCAAUUUAUUGGUCAUAAUUUCAAAUAACUGGUUACAUAUUAUUUAUUAGUAAUAAGUUAACUAAUUUAUUGAUCACAAUAACUAAAUAAUUGGUCACAAGUCCCCCUUUUAUACAACCAUAACCAAACACAGCCCUAUCACCACCACCACCACCAGAAACAUCAUCUCACCACUACUAGGACCACCACCAUCCGUACAAAGAAUCAAAACCACCAUCUCCAACACACCACCAUCACCAAUCAAAAAAUCCCUAAACCUACCAUCACCAUCGCCACUGCCACCACAACCACCAUCGUUGCAACCGUUCCACAACUAUAGGCAUCGUCACCACCAUCUCACCAUCAUAGCCCACCAAAAAUCACAACUAUCUCUUCUAUCACCAUCUCCAUAACACCAUCCCCAUCGCCUGCAUCAGCAACAACCACCGCCUGCACUAGUAACCACACCACCUGCUAAAAUCAACAAAAUCCCUAAACCUGCCAUCGCUUGCACUAUCUCACCACACCGUAGCCACCAUCCCUACCAACAAAAUCCCUAAACUUGUCACUGCCAUCUAGACGUUCAACAUACUACAAAUCAACCUCCAAUUCUAGCCACAACAAAAUUAGAAAAAGAAAGAGGAGCAAAAUUUUGCACCGAUCGUGAUGAUCGGCCAUCGACUGGGAGGAUUGAUCGCUGCUGAUAUCAUCACCAUUGUGCGCACGACUGUUGGUACGAUUAUCACAUUGACUUGCUCAGAUCAGAGUGUGGCUGUUGUCUACCUCCCUAUGUGCCAUCACGUCGCCGUCGAAUGAGGUGGGUUUCAGAGCUCGGUGAAUGAUUGGUAGAGGCGUCAAAAUAGUGAGGGUGGGAAAGGUAGAGAGGGUGAGAAGAGAGAGAGGAGAGGAGAGUGGUAAUUGAAUUUUAGGGUUUGGGAUAAAUAUGUGUAUUUAAUUUUGUAAUAUAAUUAUUAAUAUCUAAGACAUAUUAAUUAAUUAAUAACACAUCUUAUUUUAGAAAUAGCAAAUUUAACCUAUAUUUACAAAAUGGAAUCUCUAAAUAUAUUAGGAGCUCGUUUGGUAUAACUAAAAAGCCAAUUAAAAUUAAUUAUUUGAUCAUUAUUUCACUAUUACAGUCGUUAUUUUUGAAUUCUUCUCUUACAGGUAGGACCCACUUUAUCUUUAACAGUCAUAAAAUCAAUUAUCAAAAUCCCUAUCAAACAAGCACUAGAUCCUAUAAUUUCCACUUUUGAAAAAUUCAUCAAAUGGGCUAGCAUUUAUAGUGAAUUUUGGAAUUAGAUCUUUUUGUAGCAAUCUCGUAAAAUUUCUACAUAAUAUUUUUUGCGUGUUUAUCUCGAUCAACCUAGCAUGAAAAAUUUACAAGCGAUGCAAUGAAGUGUCCAGGGCAAGCAUGACUUCUUCUAGUCAAUAGAAAUGAGUCAUUUUGAUAAUUUCAUCAAAUGGGUCGACAUUUAUAGUGAAUUUUUGAAUUUAGACCUUUUCGUGGCAGUCUCGUAAAAUCUCGUCUCCUCAAACCUCCCGUUAUUACGAGGAUUCACAUUAUUUUCAUUUUUCCUGCUCAAAUCCCCUCUGACUACAGGUUACAACACAUAUUUUUCCAAAUCAACUUGACCCCAUCGUCGACCCCACCCCACCCCACCGAUGCAUAUACACGUGAGCAAGCAUAGAAUGUAACGGCUACUUUCUCACUGUAAUCUGAAAAUGACUGCGCUAGUCAAACUUGUUAAUUAUGUUGGGAAUUUACUUAAACAUACGCAGUGAAAAUAAAAAUAAUUUCAAUUUUCACCACGAUUCAACUUUAUAUUUAGAUAGGAAUCGUUAUAAAAGUUAUACAUUUUCUUGGAUCUGCAAACUUCUUGAUUUAAUCUUUGUUCCAGCAAGUUGGAUCUGCUUCCCACAACUUUCCAAUUGUCCAGUCUUCAAUGAAUUCCACACAGAGAACAGAUUGCAGCCGCCAUGAUUUUCUCCUUUUGUGCUAGCAAGAAUUAUAAGAUUCUCUACUGAAUUGAAAACCCUAAUCACGUAUUUAUACAAGCCUAAACGAGAUUAGUCUGACCUGAUCCAAUAUUUAAUUUAUCCAUUUAAUUAAAUUCGGUUCGUGGAUUGAUUAAUCCAGUUAAUUAAUUCGGGACUAUAAAUAACCAACCAAAUUAAUUAAUUUAUCAAAUGAUUGUCAAAUUAAGUAAUUGACAAAUUGUAAUCUUCCAAUUCUCUUUUUUGUGCGAUCUAUCAGGUUCCUAAUCACUAUGCCUAAUGGCUAUUUUGAUCUAAUCAAAAUUGAUAAUUUAAAACAUCAUUAUAAUUUAUCACCAAUUCACACUCGCCGUCCCAUAUUGACAUCUAGUAAUGUAUCAGAGUAACACAUAUGACGAAAAAUAUCACAUGGUAUGAAAAAAUCAAACUUGUUUGUUUACCAUGAAACUAUAAUCCUUCUAUCAAUAUGAUUCGAUCAAUUACGAGAUAUUUAAGUGUGUCAAUCUCAAUUAUCUAUCAUAUCUUUCAUUCUACUAUUAAGUCAAUAUGAGUCGAAAUUUUCGACUCAUGAGUAUACCUUAACUAAGAAUUUCGUUAUUGAUUUAAUUGAAUGAAAUGCAGGUCACAAUCUUUUACUAUCUAAAAAUGACGAAUCGUCUAUUGAUCAUUCACAACUUUUAUAUGGUUCUUGACAUAUCCGAACGAUGUCGUAUCAAGGGUUCUUGACAAAGCAACAUCCAAUACCGUCAAAGCAUUACUAUCCUCAUAUAAGGCACUAUGACGACCUCAAGUCAAAUGACCAAUUCCACUAUCGAACGUUAGAUAUUAACCACUGAUACUCAAAUAGUUAUCCAUGUGGAAUUUUUUAGCGGGUCUCCAAUAUUUCGUCUAUAACAAAACAUUCACGCGUUCAUUGAAGUGUCACCACGCUUUAACUUAUAAGAUCAGCUACUUACUUCACAAGUAAGAAAUGUCAUACGUGAUGGUUCAUCCGUAAUAACGAUAUAUGUAUCUCGUUAUUACUUAUGACCACAGAUUAUUCAAGAUCCGAUCAUAUAUAAUUUGCAUCUCACAAUCACAACAUUUUGUGAUUAACAAAUUACUUAAAUUUGAAUUUUCGGACUCCAUUAUUUAAUAUUAUUUAUGAAAAUAUUAAUUUGAGCUCAUGUUUAUUUCCUAUUAAAAUAAAAAAUAUGAUCGUUAUCCAUCACAUCAAGUCACCAUAUUUGAAUUUUUAUCUUUUAUAUGAGGUUCACAAUGAUUAUAUUUUUUUAUUUUUUUUUUACAUAAAUGGAAAAUAAACGGGUGAAUAAAUUAUAGAUGUUGACAAAAUUAAAUGCAAUAAACAUUUAAAAGUAUUUACGAUUGACCCUUUGUUUGACCUCCAUUUUUUUGUAAUGAAAAUGAGAGGAAUGGUGUUUUUUUUUUUUUUGAAAAAUGAGAGGUUAAAAGGAAUGAAAAAUUUACGUGUAAUAUUAUUUUAUGAAAGAUUGUGUGAUUGAAAAUAGAAAGAAGAAAAAUAGAAUUUAAUGGAAUAUAAUCUAAUGGAGGCAAACGUAGCUGAAUAUAACGCAUUACGCCUACAAAUUCAUCGGCAUUCUAAGCUGCGGCUCCAUGACCUGAACUCAAACCCGUAAGAGAACAAAUUCAGGUGGGCGUAAACCAGAAUCCUGAUAUGGAAUCGAUUGUGGUGUUAGAUUCGGAUUCUGAGUUUGAAGCUGGAUUACAAUCGAAUGAUUUCAUUAGUGAUGAGGAACGAGAAGGGAUUAGAGAGAUCGAGGAUGAUGAAGAAGUGACGAUUUGUGGGGAUUCGAAGCCAUGCAAAAUGGGGAAGAGAAAAAUUGAAAAAGGGGACUUGGAAUUCAAGAAUUCCUUGCCCUUCAUGUGUAACGCUCCUAAAAUGGUAAUUUAUCAUUCUUAUUUGUUAUGAAGACGAUUUUUGGUGGCGAUUUUUUCUGUAGCCAACUGGGAGUAAUAAAUUGUGGGCUUUGGUAAUUCAUGGACUUCUGUUGUUACUCUUUAUGAGAGAUUUUUUUUUUAUUUUUUUUAUUUUUUUUUAUUUUUUGCCUGUAAAUGAACGUUUGAAAAUAUUUCGGUUUUCCUGUAGCACAUUAAUAGUUGGUUUUGGAUUGUCAAUUCUAAGUAUUUAAACCUUUUGAUAUUACAAAUUUGGUUUAUGUCCUGUCAAUGAAUUUUCAAAUUUUCAAGAAUUAUGGCGUUAUUAUGUGGAAUUUGUGAGAAUUGGAGUUUUUUUAAUUUUAUUAUAGCCGUCUAUUAAUUGGUUUGGAUAAAUUAUAUCAUGUAGAAUUCUUUAAAGUUUGCGGGUAUUUAGUUUUGUGGUUCUGUAGUCAUUUAUGCUGACCUGGUUGGUGUCCAUUCAGGAAUUGUGAUGAUCCUUUCUAGAAUUCUUCAUCUUAUUCUUCCACAAAAUUUAAAAGGGUCUUUUGUGUUGUUGCAAUGCCUGUUACUUUAGUUUUGGUCUUUUGAUUGAUUAAUAAAAUUCAAGUUUUGGAGUUUUCUCCAACUGGUUUGUUAUAGGAUGAAAAUAAAAAUUGCGAUUGCCACUGUAGUUGGGCAUUACGGCAACCUAUGCGCGGCGGAGCCCUCGAUGAGUUCUUAUCAUUUUUAUUUUAUUUUUUGAUAAAACAAAAAUAAAUAAAAUAAAAGGAACAAUGACAUUUCAAAUCUUGGUACUGAAGUUUAUUUCAGAUUACUAUUUUUUUUAAAUAGAUUAAUUGAAUCAGCAUGUUACCAAAGUAACCACUCUUACAUAAAUUAAUUUAUUUGGAAUAUUAGGAAAGUCGUAUGUACGUAAUUUCUGCAGAUAUUCAUUGGCACAAAGGAAUAUUAGGAAGGUCUUGUGUACGUAAAUUAUGGAUAAAGAAUGGGUGCGUCUUAAGAGGUAAUUUGUACUUUGUCUUGUAAUUUAUAUACUUUAUAUUUUAAGAUAAUAUCUUAGAACAUUGUCUUUUAAAAUUGUUAGGGGCCUCACAAGAGUACAUAAAAGCUUCAAAAAAUUUUGUCACUACUGCUCAUCAUAAUUUAGGCAAACCAGAUAAAAUUUUAUGUACUUGUAAAGGUUGUCGAAACUUAAGCCAUCAAUAUGUAAAUAUCGUUCACGAGCAUCUAGUCAUAAGAGGAAUGGAUCCGACUUACACAAAUUGGUUUCACCAUGGAGAAAUAUUAAUUAGUAAUGUUGAUACUACAAAUAAGACAAAAAUAUUCAACUUGUUUGAAGCUACACAUACGAAUGAAGAACAUAACAAGGAAGUUUUUGAAGAGAAUUUGGAUGAUAACAUUAGUCGAUUGGUGAAGGAUGCUGAAACUCCGUUGUAUCCGGAAAUGAAAAAUACACAAACCUAUCUUUAAUUGUGACCUUAUAUAAGCUUAAAACUAUUAGUGGUUGGUCAGAUAAUAGCUUUACAGAACUUCUAAACAUAUUACAUGAUAUGUUACCUGAAGAUAAUGUAAUUCCUACAUCGACAAUAUGCGUAAGAAAAUUUCUACAGACAUUUGAUUUAGGAUAUGAGAAGAUUCAUGCAUGCGUUAAUAAUUGUUGUUUGUUUAGAAACGAUAAAAAAGAAGUAGAUAGCUAUCCAAAAUGUGGUUCUUCGAGAUGGAAGGUCGAUAAGCAGACACGAAAGCAUAAAAAUGGUGUACCUGCUAAAGUCUUAAGAUACUUUCCUAUAAAACCUAGAUUCCAGAGGAUGUUUAGUAAACC